CAAGUACUCCCUCUGUCCAGAAUUACUUGUCAUCAAAAUGGAUGUGUCUAGAACUAAAAUACAUCUAGAUACAUCCAUUUCAAUGACAAGUAUUUCCGGAUGGAGGGAGUACAAG
rnacentral:pre_miRNA from 1 species